CCGCUGUGUUUGCACACUCUUCACCUUGCUCCUGCCCACUCUGCUUGUCACCUGCCCCCUGAUAACCCCAUCACUCCUGAAAGAUCCUUAGUGCCUGGAUUUUGUCAUCCAGCCCUGCAGGAUGCUCCCAUUUGUCCUGAGGAAGGCUGUCCCAGACAGAGAGGAGGAGAUGGAGGUGGAUGUGGAGGUGGAAGAAGAGAUGGAGGUGGAUGUGGAGGUGGAAGAAGAGAUGGAGGUUGAUAUGGACGAGUCCAUUGAGGACAUGGACAUUGAUUAAAAAGGUGCGAUGGACAUCACAGAGACACCACCCUUUUGUAUAUAUGUUCUACAGUUUGUUGUUUUUCUUUAGAAUAUAGAUCAUAGGGCUAUUUUUGACUUCUGUAAAUACGUUUCCCAUAGUUUUGCUAGGUAGGUUUUUAUGUAUAUAUGUUCUAUCGAUUGUUGUUGUUAUAAAUAUUCUUACAAUGUAAAUGUGUUCUGUAUUUUUG